rnacentral:rRNA from 1 species
UACGGAGGGUGCAAGCGUUAUCCGGAUUCACUGGGUUUAAAGGGUGCGUAGGUGGGAAUGUAAGUCAGUGGUGAAAUCUCCGUGCUUAACAUGGAAACUGCCAUUGAUACUAUGUUUCUUGAAUUUUCUGGAGGUCAGCGGAAUAUGUCAUGUAGCGGUGAAAUGCUUAGAUAUGACAUAGAACACCAAUUGCGAAGGCAGCUGACUACAGGGGAUAUUGACACUGAGGCACGAAAGCGUGGGGAUCAAACAGG